rnacentral:rRNA from 1 species
CCUACGGGUGGCAGCAGUGGGGAAUAUUGCGCAAUGGGCGAAAGCCUGACGCAGCGACGCCGCGUGAGGGAUGAAGGUCUUCGGAUCGUAAACCUCUGUCAGCAGGGAAGAACGGUCACUGUGCUAAUCAGCAGUGCAUUGACGGUACCUGCAAAGGAAGCACCGGCUAACUCCGUGCCAGCCGCCGCGGUAAUACGGAGGGUGCGAGCGUUAAUCGGAUUUAUUGGGCGUAAAGAGCUCGUAGGCGGUAUGUCAAGUCAAGGGUGAAAUCCCCGGGUUCAACGUGGGAAGUGCCUUUGAAACUGGCAGACUGGAGUGUGGGAGAGGAUAGUGGAAUUCCAGGUGUAGGAGUGAAAUCCGUAGAUAUCAGGAAGAACAUCAGUGGCGAAGGCGACUAUCUGGCACAUAACUGACGCUGAGGAGCGAAAGCGUGGGUAGCAAACAGGAUUAGAUACCCUUGUAGUC